UUUUUGAAACUGCUAGUUACAAUGAAAUUGCAUAUAAAAUUAAAAUAGUAUUGAUAGUUUUCACAAAAGAAACCAAGGAAUAAGCUUAUACUUUCUUACUCUUUAGGGACAUGAUCUGAGUACCUACUGUGUGUCAAACAUGAUUCUAGGUAUGAGAUAUGAAGAUGAAAGUGUGAAAGAAUAUAUAUAUAUACUUGUAACUUACAGCUUCAGGAUAAAGUAUUGGUAGUCUUAUACUCCAUAAGAAGCCAGUUUACAGCUGCUACACAUGUACAGUUACGUUCUUCAGGGAUAUUAGGGACUUCUCCCUGCAAGUCUAUGCCUAUCUAUUUUGCUAGAUAAUCAGGUGUAUGUAUGUGAGGCUCAUGCUUGAAAGAUAUUUGUUUUAAGGGGAAAUGGAGGGACAAAAAAACAAAAUUGAAAUUACUUAGGAAUUAUUCACCUUACAAUCAUGUUUUCAUGUGUUUCUGCUUUUUUCCUACAACGAUGGCAUCCACUCCACACGUGACACGAACAUUAUAUUAUAUUUGAAGCAUUAUUCUAUAGUGAAUCUUUAAGGAAUGACUUCUCUUUAGUCAGCUGGGGGUCAGGGAGCAGGGUUGAAUCUCCAGAAGCACGCACCAUUGUUAAUUCUUGGGACUCAAGCUUUUCUGUUCUGUAACUGGUGCUUGGCCUCUCAGGUGACCCAUUUCCUCUCCUCUCUAGAUGGCAACACAAAGACGAAAAAGAGGACAGAUCCUUGCCUUAGUCUUCAGCAUCUCACCGCCGUCAGCAAGCUCUAGGGCUGCUGUUUGUACAGUGAAUUUCAUGGAAUCGCAUCAGUACAUUAAGAACCAAAAUCCAAAUGCCGUUUGCUUCUCGUUUAGGAAAAACUCACAGGUAAACUAAAGCAGGUCAACAGGUCUGUAGCCUGAUCCCGUAAGCAAGCUCUUCCCCUGC
rnacentral:lncRNA from 1 species